GACGAACGCUGGCGGCGUGCCUAAUACAUGCAAGUGGGACGUAAGGGAACACACUGUGCUUGCACACCGUGUUUUCUUGAGUCGCGAACGGGUGAGUAACGCGUAGGUAACCUGCCUAUUAGCGGGGGAUAACUAUUGGAAACGAUAGCUAAUACCGCAUAAUAUUAAUUAUUGCAUGAUAAUUGAUUGAAAGAUGCAAGCGCAUCACUAGUAGAUGGACCUGCGUUGUAUUAGCUAGUUGGUAAGGUAAGAGCUUACCAAGGCGACGAUACAUAGCCGACCUGAGAGGGUGAUCGGCCACACUGGGACUGAGACACGGCCCAGACUCCUACGGGAGGCAGCAGUAGGGAAUCUUCGGCAAUGGACGAAAGUCUGACCGAGCAACGCCGCGUGAGUGAAGAAGGUUUUCGGAUCGUAAAGCUCUGUUGUAAGUCAAGAACGUGUGUGAGAGUGGAAA
rnacentral:rRNA from 1 species